GUCCCCUUCGUCUAGUGGUUAGGACACCGGGUUUUCAUCUCGGCAACAGGGGUUCGAAUCCCCUAGGGGACGCCA
rnacentral:tRNA from 2 species